rnacentral:rRNA from 1 species
AUUGAACGCUGGCGGCAGGCCUAACACAUGCAAGUCGAGCGGAUGAAGGGAGCUUGCUCCUGGAUUCAGCGGCGGACGGGUGAGUAAUGCCUAGGAAUCUGCCUGGUAGUGGGGGAUAACGUCAGGAAACGGGCGCUAAUACCGCAUACGUCCAGAGGGAGAAAGUGGGGGAUCUUCGGACCUCACGCUAUCAGAUGUGCCUAGGUCGGAUUAGCUAGUUGGUGGGGUAAAGGCCUACCAAGGCGACGAUCCGUAACUGGUCUGAGAGGAUGAUCAGUCACACUGGAACUGAGACACGGUCCAGACUCCUACGGGAGGCAGCAGUGGGGAAUAUUGGACAAUGGGCGAAAGCCUGAUCCAGCCAUGCCGCGUGUGUGAAGAAGGUCUUCGGAUUGUAAAGCACUUUAAGUUGGGAGGAAGGGCAGUAAGUUAAUACCUUGCUGUUUUGACGGUACCAACAGAAUAAGCACCGGCUAACUUCGUG